AGGGGUGUAGUUUAACUGAAAACAUUUAGCUUGCAACUAAGAAAUACAAGAGUCAGCCCUA
rnacentral:tRNA from 1 species